UCAUGCAGGUUUUUGUCAUUGAGAAUAUUCAUUGGAAUGAACUUGGACUUCUUUUCGCUGUCUGGAUCAUGAUACUUGCAUUAGAGAUUGGAAAAAAUUACACAACAACUUGCUCUGGAGUAUAUUGGGUGAUCAAUCUACUACAGAUUGUAUCCAUGGGUAGAAAGUAAUUCGGUGCAGAUUUUCGGUUGAUGUAUCGUCUUCUCAAAUUAUUUCUGUUCAUUGGAGCCAUUGUUGCUCUAGGCUUAAUGUUUACUCUGCCGAGUCUCACAGUUGGGGACAUCUUUGCGAGCCUCCUAGCCUUUCGGAUUUUGAAAAAAAAAAAUCUUGGUGAUGUAAUUUCGGCAAACAAAUACCUAUAAAUAUUAAUGAUA